CGGGGGAGCAAGCGUUGUUCGGAUUUACUGGGCGUAAAGGGCGCGUAGGCGGCCAGCGCAAGUCAGUUGUGAAAUCUCCGGGCUUAACUCGGAACGGUCAACUGAUACUGCGCGGCUAGAGUGCAGAAGGGGCAACUGGAAUUCUCGGUGUAGCGGUGAAAUGCGUAGAUAUCGAGAGGAACACCUGCGGCGAAGGCGGGUUGCUGGGCUGACACUGACGCUGAUGCGCGAAAGCCAGGGGAGCGAACGGGAUUAGAUACCCCGGUAGUCCUGGCCUAAAACGAUGGAUGCUUGGUGUCUGGAGUUUUAUAGUCUCCGGGUGCCGUAGCUAACGCGUUAAGCAUCCCGCCUGGGGAGUACGGUCGCAAGACUG
rnacentral:rRNA from 1 species